CGGGAGUAACAACCUGGAAACAAGAUGCUAAUAACCGGAUAACAACAGAUGAUGCCUAUCAACUGUUUAAAAGAUGGUUCUGCUAUCACUCUUGGAUGGACCUGCGGUGCAUUAGCUAGUUGGUAGGGUAACGGCCUACCAAGGCGAUGAUGCAUAGCCGAGUUGAGAGACUGAUCGGCCACAUUGGGACUGAGACACGGCCCAAACUCCUACGGGAGGCAGCAGGA
rnacentral:rRNA from 1 species